UACGGAGGGAGCUAGCGUUGUUCGGAAUUACUGGGCGUAAAGCGCGCGUAGGCGGUUACUCAAGUCAGAGGUGAAAGCCCGGGGCUCAACCCCGGAACUGCCUUUGAAACUAGGUGACUAGAAUCUUGGAGAGGUCAGUGGAAUUCCGAGUGUAGAGGUGAAAUUCGUAGAUAUUCGGAGGAACACCAGUGGCGAAGGCGGCUCACUGGUCCAUUACUGACGCUGAGGUGCGAAAGCGUGGGGAGCAAACAGG
rnacentral:rRNA from 1 species